rnacentral:tRNA from 1 species
ACCUGGGUGGCUCAGUCGGUUGAGCAUCUGACUUCAGCUCAGAUCAUAAUCUCACGGUUCCUGGGUU